rnacentral:rRNA from 1 species
ACGCUGGCGGCAGGCUUACACAUGCAGUCGAGCGGAGAUGAGGUGCUUGCACCUUAUCUUAGCGGCGGACGGGUGAGUAAUGCUUAGGAAUCUGCCAUUUAGUGGGGGACAACAUUCCGAAAGGAAUGCUAAUACCGCAUACGUCCUACGGGAGAAAGCAGGGGAUCUUCGGACCUUGCGCUAAAUGAUGAGCCUAAGUCGGAUUAGCUAGUUGGUGGGGUAAAGGCCUACCAAGGCGACGAUCUGUAGCGGGUCUGAGAGGAUGAUCCGCCACACUGGGACUGAGACACGGCCCAGACUCCUACGGGAGGCAGCAGUGGGGAAUAUUGGACAAUGGGCGGAAGCCUGAUCCAGCCAUGCCGCGUGUGUGAAGAAGGCCUUUUGGUUGUAAAGCACUUUAAGCGAGGAGGAGGCUACUAGUACUAAUACUACUGGAUAGUGGACGUUACUCGCAGAAUAAGCACCGGCUAACUCUGUGCCAGCAGCCGCGGUAAUACAGAGGGUGCGAGCGUUAAUCGGAUUUACUGGGCGUAAAGCGUGCGUAAGCGGCUUUUUAAGUCGGAUGUGAAAUCCCCGAGACUUAACUUGGGAAUUGCAUUCGAUAC